rnacentral:tRNA from 1 species
GUUCUUGUAGUUUAUUAAUAACAAUAGUUUUUCAGGCUAGAGGUCUGGGUUAAAAUCCCGGCAGGAAUU